rnacentral:lncRNA from 7 species
AACGAGCACCCAAGCUAAGCGGACUGCUUCCCUAAUAGAUGCACCAUUAUAAAUGGAGCUCUCCAUUGGUGUGGGCUCACUGGGGCUGCCUCCCAGCUACAAAGGGUUUUUGUGGGAAGGGGGAGCUGCUUUGCAGUGCGCCAACCUGCCCUAAGCCUGGGGGAUUCCCUCUCUGUCAGUGCUCUUCAGCUUUCAGGCUGCUUAUCAAAGCCGUCAUCAUUUGCAUUUCACUGCAGGUUUGGGGGGGGGGGGGAAGGGAAGAUACCGAAAGGCAUAAAACAAAACCGAGCCCCAACUCCCAGUGCAAUGCGGUGGAAGUAGGGCACAUAGCUCCUUUUCUCUUUAUUUUUUUUCUCCCUUUCAAUAUCUGCCAUAAUAACAGUAAUAGAUUCUGAGAAGUGCAAGUUAAUCUGUAGCUCCAGAGCUUUUUAUUGUGUUUCUCCCUUUUUGUGCGUGUUAACCUUUCAAAUCUUAGAAGGCUGUGGAGUGUGCAUUGCUAUUUUAAUUCCUAUUAUUCUUGCUUGCUGCCUGCUUCUCAACUGGGUCCUAGAUAGAGUAAGUACAUGCACCCAUUAACCCAUACGUCUCAUUCAGCCCUUCUCCAAACCUUGGGUCUGUCUCUUAAAUUUGUGUUAUGUGUAUUGUAAGUCCCAGGUGAGCUUAAAGCUUCAGUGCACUGCAAAGGAGGAGAGAGCAUCUCAAUACCACACAGAGAGAACUGAAACAGGAAAAAAGUAAGCAAAGGACCUCUUGUGGUAAUGAUCUUUAAUAUGUCCAUGUGCCCAGGGUCAUUGAGAGAGCUCAAAUUAAACCUUGGUGGGCCCUACAUCUGGUGGCUUUGGCUCAGCCCUUUGCCAGCAGACUGCAGUGCUCACUGUGUGUUGGCCAAAGCAGCUCCUGCAGCUGCUGGGAUUUGGGGAAUGGGGAGAACUUAUUUCUGCACCAGCUUUAAACCCCUGCCUGCACAUCUGGCAUGUAUCUGCAAUCUCUCUUAGUGAAAGCCCAAAUUUUUAAGACAUCCUCUGUUCACCUCUUUACGUGCUUUGUCUUUAUUUUGUGCCAUAUGAACUGAAGGCCCCAUAUAGGAAAUUAAUCCUUGUUUUUUUUCUUUGUCAUCUGACUAUGUGUUACUAAAAACCUGUUUCAUUUCCUAGGUUAGAAGGCCUUAAAACCACAUUGAAUCCAGAAGACAAAGAAUGAGCUGAUGAAAGGAUUCGAAGACAUCUCCAGGAGCACCGUUGCAAGAGGAUGGGAUGUGUGAGAAUGCAGACUGUCACCACAACUGCCACCCUGCAACUUGGGGAGAAGAUGAAUUUGUGGUGUGUUACUCUCAAGGUCUUCAGAACUUGAGAAGACCUCGGUAGUCUGAGCCCUCCUUCACUUUGUCUUCACACAGAACACGGAGCCAUUUCCCUGUGUGUUCCACAUUCCUUUAUCCAUCUUUACUCUCUGUGCCUGAAUAUCUUCUCUUGCCCCAUCA